UACGAAGGGUGCAAGCGUUAAUCGGAAUUACUGGGCGUAAAGCGCGCGUAGGUGGUUCAGUAAGUUGGAAGUGAAAUCCCCAGGCUCAACCUGGGAACUGCUUUCAAAACUGCUGAGCUAGAGUACGGUAGAGGGUGGUGGAAUUUCCUGUGUAGCGGUGAAAUGCGUAGAUAUAGGAAGGAACACCAGUGGCGAAGGCGACCACCUGGACUGAUACUGACACUGAGGUGCGAAAGCGUGGGGAGCAAACAGG
rnacentral:rRNA from 1 species